UACGUAGGUGGCGAGCGUUAUCCGGAAUUAUUGGGCGUAAAGCGCGCGCAGGCGGUUUCUUAAGUCUGAUGUGAAAGCCCACGGCUCAACCGUGGAGGGUCAUUGGAAACUGGGAGACUUGAGUGCAGAAGAGAAGAGUGGAAUUCCACGUGUAGCGGUGAAAUGUGUAGAGAUCGGGAGGAACACCGGUGGCGAAGGCGGCCUUCUGGACGGUGACUGACGCUGAGGCGCGAAAGCGUGGGGAGCAAACGGG
rnacentral:rRNA from 1 species